AUGACUCUCUUAAGGUAGCCAAA
rnacentral:ncRNA from 3 species